rnacentral:lncRNA from 1 species
CUUCUGAAGGUUGUGGCCAGCCUCCGUGGCCUCUGACGGGGUGCUCUCUCCAGAGGGAGGCCUGGACUCGAGAGUCCUGACCCCGAAGGGGAAAUCCGCUUGUUGGGGGCUCCGGUUGAACUGGAGCCGGAGGAAGUGGUGCUGUUGGGAUGCCCCUGGGUUGCAAGCUUUGGACAGCGGUAGCCAAGGCUUGCACCUGUUGCACCAGGGCAUCAAACUGCUCCGGCCGGACUUGAGGAAUUGACUCGGCCGGAGGCGGUGAGUUUUGGACAGAAUGUUCAUGACUGGGUGGAGGACGUCGGGAGGCAUUGGAGGCCCCUUUGCUUCUUAGUUUCAUGGCAGCAACUCGGGCCCUUCCUCUAGCGCCAACUGUUGCUGGAAAUUGGACCCGGGGCCGCCGCGAAACCAGGGGAGGAGGAGCUCCGCUGCCGGGAGGGCGGACGGCGGUGCGCUGGCAGACUGCGUCCUCCGUGGGGAUGAGAGAGCGGAGAGGAGUGCGUCCUGUCCUGUCCUCCGUGGGAGGAGCUCCGCCGCAGGGACGGUGGUCGGCGGUGCGCCGACUGGUGGUGUCCUCCUGGGGGGUGUGAGUCCUGCAAAGAAGCCGGUGGCCGGGCUUUCCGGCGCCGGCCCUCCGAUGCUUAAGUCAGAGGGGACUAGUAUGUGGAGAGAGCAAGGAAGAGAUGUGGAGAAGAUGAAGAGAAUAUUAAGCUCAAUUGUGUCUGUGCUGUUUCUUUUUCAUCCUCCCCCCCUCC